GACGAACGCUGGCGGCGUGCCUAAUACAUGCAAGUCGAACGCAGUGGGUACGGGUGAGUAACACGUGGGUAACCUCCCAUCAGAGGGGAUAACACUUGGAAACAGGUGCUAAACCGAUACUGAUGGAUGAACCCGCGGUGCAUGAGCUAGUUGGUGAGGUAACGGCUCACCAAGGCCACGAUGCAUAGCCGACCUGAGGGGGUGACAGGCAACAAUGGGACUGAGAGAGGGCCCAGACUCCUACGGGAGGAAGCAGUGGGGAAUCUGCGGAAAUGGACGAAAGUCUGACAGAGCAACGCCGCGUGAGUGAAGAAGGUUUUCGGAUCGUAAAACUCUGUUGUUAGAGAAGCGGUAACUAACCAGAAAGCCACGGCUAACUACGUGCCAGCAGCCGCGGUAAUAC
rnacentral:rRNA from 1 species